UUCCAGCUCAAGCAGACAUUAGAAACUUAGAGAUUUUUUGCUCUAUUACAUUGGAAAUAACUUUGUUCUAUGCAUGCUAUGAGCACUCACUCCAAAUUCUCCAUGAGACAUUGUCAUCAGAUAAAAAAGUCAUACUGCACUGUCUUUUUCUGCAGAUUCCUUACAUUAUUGGGAUCUUAUUUGCUUUAUCACAUGAAUAAGGUAUAAGAUCCCUCAGUCAAGCAAACCUUUAGAGAGCAAUGCUAAUCACUGAAACUGCUGCUUAAACCUUGUUUUCAGUGACCAUGCCAGCCCAAAGAAACCACAUCGUUUAACAAAAGCCAACCUCACAGCUAAGAAGAAAAUGCCAUACAAAUUUUAGCUGAGACUACAAUAAUGUUCACGCCAAAAGUAGAAAAUAUCGCACAUUAUUGCGCUUUAAAAUACUGUAUUAGGCCUGGCCUCUGUACUUUUUGUCACUUAGUGGACAUUCAAGAAAAAUACUUCUGGAAGAGUGAUGCUACUGGCUGUUGCAGUAGAGUCAAGAUGUGCUUACUGCAAAGAUAAAUAACAUUUGACUGAGCUUCACAGCUGCUUCAUCUAUGAAGUCUGGCUGAUCCUGACUUCCUGUACAAGGCAUUGAGAGAAACAGAACCUGGGAAAUUCAUACAAAUCUGAAACUUUCCCAGAAAACCAUUUCCAAAAACAGUGAUGUUCUAUGAGAGAUUCCAUGCUGAGAGAUCAUUCCUUCCAAUUGCCUGACUGUUCCUCCAAAAACUUUGGAUACACAGUGUGAAGGCUGUAUCAGUUUUUCCUGUUCUUCAGUCUGAGAUGGCUAUUGCAGUGAAGUGGUUGUUACUUGCGGUGCCUUUUUGGAGUGUUCCAGCCAAUUAAAGGAGAUAUUGAAUGUGGGAGACCGUUGCAGCAGACACGGAGCUACAUUAGGAAGUCGUGCUUAACAAGUCAUGUGUGAUUUUACUGUCAAACUGCAAAGUGCUGUUCUCCUAUGGAAGAAGGCUGUGAGCACUUUCUAGGAGUUGAUAAACAUCACACGAUGCAGCUUUCUGGGAAAAACAGAACUCUUUGAAGCAUUUCCAGCAAAACCCUUAGAGAGGGACCUGGAGCAAGGCGUGGGGAGUGAAGGCUGUGCCAAGCCGAGAUCAACAUCGAAGCCUUGAGCCAAUUAAGGAACAACAUUAAUGGGCUCUCUGGGAAUCCUGCUAAGCCUUCCAUGCCAGAAAGGAUGAUGCCCACAGCACAGGG
ensembl:lncRNA